CUAUGUCCUUAGCUCAACUUGUUGUGUCUACCUGUGUGUACUGUAGCAGCAUGUAUGGCAUGUGAGAUCAUCGCUGUUCUGAAAUCCCCAAUGUUCUGCCUGUCUGGAUCUGAUGCAAUCACCCUGAUAGGAGGGGAAGGGAAAUGGAGGGUCACGCAGAGCCCCCAGCAUGGAGGGGGUAGGAGUGAAUUGGGGACUCUGGUAUGGCAGGAGAGGAGCACACCUGUCAGCUUUGACCAGGGCUGAGACUGAUGGCUGCCAUUAACAUCUUCCAGCAUAACACAAGCUGAACUAUUGACAUAGUGUUUUUCUGUCACAACACUUUCACAUCAUCAUCCCAAUUAAUCUUACUCUCCUGCAGCUCUCCUUGGAGCAUUCCUGUCCCUGCCUGACUUCUCUUCAACCAACCAGGAGUGUCUUUGAAGAUGGUGUCCUGGCUGGUUCUUCCCCUUGGAACUUUCUCAGGGAGCUUUGGAAGUGAAUCAGAAUGGAGCACUUGUCUUCUGAAAUCAUUGGCAUCACCAAACGAGGGUCCAGGGGCUGGUCGAUGGGAUUCCCAGGGACAGCACAAGCACAUGACCACCAGCUACCAGCCAGUGUGAGCUUUCCUAGGAGCAGACACGCACGAGUGCUCAUGCUAGCCCAAGAAAUAGAAAUAGUCCGGGAUCAUAGAAAUCUAGGGCUGGAAGGAACCUUGGUAAAUCAUUUAAUCUUGUCCCCUCCAUGGAUCAGCAUUCAUGUCACACUCCCUGUCAGUACCCUAUUCAAGCCGGGGAAGCUAAUGAUUCAACCAGCUGACCAAAUUUGGUGAUGAAUCCUGCUCACAAGCCACCCGAAGCACAUUGUGCAUACGCUAAGAAGAAGAUCCAAUCCCCUGCACCGAGACCAGGGAUCAGCAACCUUUGGCACGCAGCCCAUCAGAGAAAUCUGCUGGCAGGCUGGGACAGUUUGUUUACCUGCAGCGUCCGCAGGUUCGGCUGAUCCCAGCUCCCACUGGCAACAGUUCACCGUUCCAGGAUAAUGGGGGCUGCGGGAAGCAGCGCGGGCCGAGGGAUGUCAACCCUAGAACUACAUCAAACUUUUGAACAAAACAUUAAGCAUGGCUGGGUUGACUUCCCCAAAAGUAAUCAAGCACCAUCUAGACCCAUUAGGUGCUGUUAAAGGCCAAGAAGGGGCAAUUUUAAAGCUACAGAAUGAGUUUACUCCUAUUAGCAACCCAUUUGCAUAUGAUGGACUGGAGCUCGUUAAUAUCAUGACAAAAGCAGUCUUCAGUGAUGUCAGUCAAAUGGAUAUGUUGGGUCAUGACCAUGUAUGAAACCUUCAGAACCCAAAGACAUAUCCAAGUCUCUGUCAAUCUAUGGGCUCCAAUCCAGAAGAAUAGACUAAAGCUGUGCUCGAAUGCAAAGAGUGAAGGUGGCAGGGACUAUUACAGAGCUAACCACAGAUAGGUCAUUGUUUUAUCAGCUCCUGGUCAUGUCCAGAUCUCAGCAUGUUGUUGAGCUACAUGAGAUUUUAGGAAACUAUGAGUUCUUUGCGGCACCAAAAUUGAUGUUCGAAUGAGAUAGAACAAGGUAUAAGUGCCAGACAAAAAGCAAACUAAUGCACAUCUUGCAUGGUCUUCCUAAACCCACACCUACUGACAACAUGACUGGUAUCUUAUGCCAGCAUAGCAAUCAUACAUGGUAUGGCUGAGGUACAAGAUCUCGACAAACCAGAAACUGUUAACACUUGACAAGAUUUGCCUGAACACUUCAUUAUGAGGCUACAGAGAAAAUACUGGACCUAUGAUGAAAUCCACCUUAUGUUUGAUAUGUAUGCAGAGGAAUCCACUAAAAACAUUUCCAGAAAGAAGAGAGUCUAUUGUGCUGCACCUCUCCAUUGACCCCACAAACAUCUCCAAUGUUACAAUGAAGAAGCUAAUGCCUCGUAUUUGUAUGAAGGAAGAGUUAACUGCAUACCUUUCAGGAAAAAUGCUCCAGCAUGAGAAUUGCUCAAAGAAUUUCAUUGUUGCAUGGCAUUAUGAAGCUGCUGCCUCACACUGUUCAGUGGAGUUUCUUUGUAGUUCCUAUGAGGAUGCUGGCAUGCAAGAUGUCAUUGUAGUGGGGCGGCUGCCCCUCUCCAGCAGAACAGGGGUUAAAAGCAGCCCUGGAGAGGGCUGUGGCUGGGAUAAAAGGAGUGAGAGCAGCUGAGGGAGGCUGGCGAGGUAGUUGGCCCCAGGUGUGGCUGGCUUAAUCAGGCCAUAGCUGGCCCGGAUAAAAGGGCUGUGGGGCCAGAAGACAGGAAAGUCUCACUCUAGUCCUGGAGUGGGUAGGGCUAGCUGCCUGGGAGCAGGGUACCUGAAGUGGACCAGUGCUGGGGAAGGGCAAAAGGAGCUGGGGAGCUCCAACCUGAUAAACCCCCAGGCUUCAGGCCUUGGUGAAGGUCUACAAAGGUACUGGGGCUACAGAGGUGCAGCCCAGGGUUAGGCAGAGGCAGCUGGUCCUAACCCCUUGCCAAUGAUGAGUGGC